rnacentral:lncRNA from 1 species
CUACAAUUGUUGGCCACAGAGCCCUGUGGAGCCACUGUCUCUGUCUCCCCACUGUUGAGAUUGCAAGCAGGUACUACCAUGCCUAGCUUUUUAAAAGUAUGGAUUCUAAGACUUAUUGCCUCAUGCUGAAAAGCUGGCUUUCUGUGGCGAAUGCAGAGCACCGGAGCAGCCUCGGGAGAACAGCUGGAGAAAGUGCACAGGAAGAUAAAUUAAUAGGAACUCAGCGUAGCAGCAAAUUCUAGCGCACAGCGCUCAGCUGACCCGUUAAAUGAGCAAUCCUGUUAAAUACGUUAAUCAGCACGGUUUAAAAAACCCAUGGGAAUGCUGUGGAAGAUACUUCGAGUCGAAACUGCACUCUGCACCGCUGUGGUCUGCAUCCUGCAGGUUCUUGGAUAAUAGUCUUUCUUUGCUUUAGCUCUUAAGAGAAUGGUUUGGGGGCUGCCAGACUUCGGAAAGCAGGUGUUCAGGAGCAUGGCUGAUGAGCCUGAGGUUUAAGGAAGAGGGAUCACAGUUCUGGGUCUGGCUGUGAGACCAUCCCUACUUCCCAGAAUGUCACCUGCCUCUCCUAAGGCCUGGAGGACAGGAGAACCCUGAGAGUUCAGGAUCUUUAACACAGGUGGGACUGGAAAAGACUUCUCUUAGGUAUUGGGGAGCUUAAUUAUAACUAAAAUUAGGUAAGCUGG